rnacentral:rRNA from 1 species
GUGGGGAAUCUUCCGCAAUGGACGAAAGUCUGACGGAGCAACGCCGCGUGAGUGAUGAAGGUCUUCGGAUUGUAAAGCUCUGUUAAUCGGGACGAAAGAGCCUAGUGUGAAUAAUGCUAGGAAGUGACGGUACCGGAAUAGAAAGCCACGGCUAACUACGUGCCAGCAGCCGCGGUAAUACGUAGGUGGCAAGCGUUGUCCGGAAUUAUUGGGCGUAAAGCGCGCGCAGGCGGAUCUGCCAGUCUGUCUUAAAAGUUCGGGGCUUAACCCCGUGAUGGGAUGGAAACUACAGAUCUAGAGUAUCGGAGAGGAAAGUGGAAUUCCUAGUGUAGCGGUGAAAUGUGUAGAUAUUAGGAAGAACACCAGUGGCGAAGGCGACUUUCUGGACGAUGUCUGACGCUGAGGCGCGAAAGCUAGGGGAGCGAACGGGAUUAGAUACCCUUGUAGUCCC